rnacentral:lncRNA from 1 species
GCUAUGAAACAAGUUGGUCAAAUAGUCUGUCACCGAUAACCUAAAUAGGGUGACGAUUAGAUUGUCUAAUCACUUCAGAUAAGUGGUUGGUUGGUGUUAGAGGUGGCGGGUAAUAUGCGGGACCCAUAUGGCCUUAUGGUCAACGAGUAUGGUAAUGAGUUAUUCUUAAGGAUCUUUUCGAGAAGUAUCCCCGAAGAGUGAGCUCUUUAGGGGCGCAUCCGUAGAGGAGAGAUGUAUCAUAUAUAAAUAUAUAUAAAUAUGUGAUAAUUUAAGUAUGAAAUAAAAAAUAUAUAUACAUUGAAAAAAAUUAUUAUAGCACAAACAUCCCGUUUAUCUUUCAUUGUCUAAAACAAAUUUUGGCCCAAACCCAAACAGUGAUGACUUGAAUAAUUAAUUUGAAACCUAAAGGUCAACAUCUUCAUUUAAUACCUAGAAUGAGAUAUUGGUGAUUGUAAGCUAUUUGAGUCUCGAUUGAAAAAAAAAACUUAAACUCUAUUCAGUAAUUAUCGAGACGAGCUCGAGCAACUUGAGAUAUCGAUUGAGUCAAAUUCAAGCUUAGUAAUACUUGGCUUGAACUACUCAUGAGUUUUUUUUUAAUAUAAAUUUUUUUAAUACUUUAUAUUAUUAAAUUACGUUAUUACCUUUAAUAUAUAUUAUUAAUCCUAAGCUUAAUUAUCGUGCCGAGCUCGAGCACAUAUAAGCUUAAUUUUGGGGUAAGAUAAGGCAAGAUCAAAGAAGUUAUUUCAUAAUUGGAUUGACAUGAAAAUUUUAAAUACAAUCAUACUCAAAAGAGAUCAAGGCGAGAAAUAUAAAAAUCGAAUCGAAUCGAGGUGAACAAAAAAUAAUCUCGCCUUACCUGUUAUCCUACCUAAUAUUGUAUCUCCCCACUUUAAUACUUUUGAGAUGUCUUUAAAUUUUAAAUCCUUUCAAAAUAUUAAAAAAUAAACAAAUAAUCGAUUGAAUAUAUGUUUUUAAUAUUAAUCUCUAGUUCAAUUCCUAAUCCUUCCGAGUAAAUAAAGAAUGGGUACAUACAACAAGUUGUGGUGGGCUAACUAAGAGCUAAAAAAAAACUCAUGCCCAAUUUCAACAAAAAGGUCCAAAACCCUAAGACCACUUGGGGUUACUAUUUGAGUCAAAGACAUUGACCUAGGACAAAUCGCCUACAACGAAGUGAAAGAAAAAUCAACGCUUUGAACAAUUUUCAUUUUUGGUAACCAGUUUGAAAAUAUUUUUCAACUCAAGCAAUAUGGACUAAAACCGUCAUCAUCAUCCUAUAUAAACGUGUCAAGUUCAAAUCGAAACUUCUUUAAGUUCCCCAUAACCAAAAACAGGAAAGAAAGAAAGAAAACGAAAACCCCACCAUGGAUGAGCUGAUAAAACUACUAUUAGGUGAACAUGGAACAAUAUGGUACGAAACAACCCCUGUUCUUCAACCUGUUAGACCAAGCGCUUUUCAGCCAUAUCCAAAAACACCAAGAACCGAACCAUGGUUGGAAGCCGAUGGAUGUAAUAAUGGAGUGAGAUCAGGGAACAUAAACAAGAGAUUGAUCGAGUUCUUGAGGAAAACAAAUUGGGUUUCAGUCAUAUCCAAAGACGAAAAAAAACAGAGGUGUCCUAAGCACAUGAUGAAAGAGAGAAUAAGAAGAGAAAAGCAGAAAAAAUGCUACUUCGCCUUGUAUUCAAUGCUUCCUCUUGGAACAAAGGUGGGUAUUUUUUUUGUUUUUGUACGAGUGUUGAUUAUGUUUUUUUUGAGCUUUUUGGUUGGUCAUUAAUGGCAGAACGAUAAGAACUCGAUAGUUCAAACGGCAACCAUGACAGUUCGAGAGCUGGAAAUGGAGAGGGAGGAAUUGCAGAGGAACAACAACGAAUUGCUUGUAAAUUUGGGUGGCAAUGCCAAUAAUGAAGGAGCCAAGAUUAGAGCAAGGAUAGAUGAUCCAAGUUAUGAAUUGAUUACAUGUUGGCGGUUUUGAAGUGCUUGAAGACAUUGGAUUCGAAACCCGGAAUGAUCCGAACAACGGUUUAUAAUCAAGAACUGGUUUUGGAUCUUGCAACUAAGGUUUGCCCUCUUUUCUCUUUGCAUCAUUACAAAUUGAGUUUACUAAUUGCAUCAUUUGUUGUUUAUUUUGAUAGAUGAAAGCUGCCGAUGUAGAAAAUGCUAUAAAUAGAACAUUGCAAGAAGUGGAGAGGAAGCUUGAGGAACGUAGGAGCAUAUGAUUUGAUGUCAAAUCAGAGACAAGGUUCAAAAUUUCUAAUCUUACACCACUGGAUAAACAAAAGAUUAGAUCCCGAACAUGAUUUUGUUCUGAUAAUUAAAUUCUGCUUGUAGUGAUGACAAUAAGAUGAGAUUUGAUCUAAUGAAAUAUUGCAUAUUUACCAAUAAAAUUUUGGACAUUCAUUCCGCAUUUUCAUCAUCAUUUAAAACCCUAAAUUUGUGUAAUUGAAGAUUUAAUAUCUUUUACUACUCCACCUAUGGUUCAAUCGAGAAAAUAAACAAACUUCAUCUUCAUCACAAAAUCUAAAGACAUCUCCAGCUAUCAUAACUAAUAGAUGAAACAAAACACUCUUUAAAACAUUGUCAGGUCUCAUUAUCUAAAGAAGCAACCAAAAGGGUGUGAAAUUUUCAUUACUAAGAGUGCAACAAACAAAAUUUAACUCUCAAAUAGUAAACCCCAAAUUGAGGCUCCAAGCAGCAUGAAAGGGCUUCACUUCAGAGGGAUGAACCUUGAAGAAUGAGUAGCACCGAUACCGGGUCUCCCGUGCUUAACUGGCUUGUACGAAAUAGAGAACUCAGCAAGGUAAUGGCUGAUCAUUUCGGGCUUGAUCUCAACCUGAUUGAAUGUCUUGCCAUUGUACACACCGAUAAUGCUACCAAUCAUUUCGGGUACGAUGAUCAUAUUUCGGAGGUGGGUUCUGACUGGUUCUGGCUUCUCACCUGGUGGAGCCUCCCUUUUCUGGGUUAAGACAUCCGAACAAAGAUUAUGCUUUAAGUAUAAUGUUUAACUCAAAUAGAACUAUCAAACACUAAUGAGAUUUUAUCAAGAUAAUAUCCUGUAAAGCUGGAUUUAGAACGAAAAUUCUGCAACAAAAACGCUACACCAACAAUGAAUCACUCUAACAUUAUACAAUUACCCCUAACCAUCCAACAAUGAUCAGAAGUAUAAAAUUAAAAGGAAAAUGAACUAGCAAAAUGCAAAAAUAUGGAGCAUAUAGUUGUCAUAAUUUAUCAUGUUCUAUUAUGCACAUUCAAGGAUUGGGAUAUAAUUGAAAAUAUAAACAAAUGAAAUGCAACCAAUUGAAGUACAAGCAUUAACAUAAGGCUUCAGUUGCUAGAAUUUGGCAGAAAACAAAUUUCCAAAUAAAAAUGAAUACAUCCAUCAAAAAUGAUAAAUGAAAAUGGAGAAAUAGAGCAAGCCAUGGAAAACAAUCCUAACAUAACUAUGAAUACUCAAAAUUAAGUCAAAAUUCUCAACUUUCACAUCAAAUUUUAGAUCUAAGAUAAAUCCAAAAUUGAUAAACAUAAGAAAUGAAAAGAGGAAAGGGAAGAACAAAUUACCGCCUUGCGAAGUUUCUUGAUUAAAGCCAUGGGCUUUCUCUUGAGACCCCUCUGGAACCUAUAAUAAUAAUAAUAAUAAUAAUAAUAAUAAUAAUAAUGAUAAUAAUAAUAAGGAAAACCCAUUUCAUAUUUUUCACUAAUAGCAAUUAAAAAAACAUAUUUUGCAAAAAAAAAUGAAACUUGCUUCUGUUUUCUUAUUACCUUCUGCGAGCACGGGCAGGAAAGAGCUUGACAAGCUCAUCAGUGGACAUAUCAAGGAGAGCAUCCAAAUCAACACCUCUGAAGCUAAACUUCUUGAAUGUUCUCUUCUUGGGCACUCCAGCCGCCGCUACCUCCGUCUCAACAUCCGCCUGUCAGAAAAAAACCAUUUUCCCCACCAUAAGAGCAACAAAGAAUAAGAAGAAAGAUGAAGCAGAGGAUAGAGAUCACUUACCAUGGUCGAAAGGCUUGAAUUCUAGAGCUGUAGCCGUUAGGGUUUUGUUUGGGGGAGGUUAGUGAAAUUUAUUUUUGAUAAGUAGUUUUGUAUAUAAAGGCUGAAACCCUAAAGUAAGCUUUUUAGAAAUAGUGUAAGUGUUGGCUAUUUGUUGGGCUGGGCCUGUAACAUAAGUUUUUCAAAAAACUUAUAUCAAAGUAUUUUUACACUUUUGGGUCGGGUUAUUUAUUCAGUUCUAAAAAUCCGUCCGAAUAGUGAGAAAUAGUAAGAAGAUUUAAAUAAAAAUAUAGGCUCGAAAAAAGUCUUGAAUAAAAAAUAAGAUCCUUUUUUUAAAUGGGCCAGGCCUUAUGUAGAUUUUUAACUUAAGCUUAGCUCAAACAAACUAUUUUAUUACUAUUUCGCUAUUAUAUUGCUAUUAUUUUAUUAUUAUUAUUAAAAUUUCAACUCAAGAACUUCGGUAAUUUAGAUAUUACGUGUUUUUAGCUUAAACUCAAAUUUGAAACUUAACUCGAAUUUAAUUAAUUUUUAUUUUUAAACAUUUAACUCAAAUUGAAAAAAAAAGAAUUUAUAAUUAUUAAAAUGAGCACGUGGCAGUUAUUCAUUGGACAGUAUCCUUGUAAUUUUCCUUUAUAAAAAAAAAAUCUCUUUCCAAUCCCAAAUCACAUUUCACAGAAAGAAACUUUCUUCUUAACUGAUUACCGACUUUUUCCCGCCAUAUUUUUCACAGAAGAACCGAAGAAACGAGUUGAAUCAAUGGAGUCGACUGUUGCAGAAGAAGUUUCAGGGAGCCCUAUGGCCCAAGAAGAAGCCAAGAACGAAGCGACCAUCAUCGCCGGCGACGAUGGCAACAUGGAGAACGGCAAGAACCCAGUAUUAGUCGCUGUAGUUACCGCUGCCGAGGUUGCUUCCCUCAUUUCUCCUGCGAGAACUGUCGAGUCGCCACAAGAGAUCGAGAAUAUGAAGAAUGAAAAGAAGAAGAAGCAGAAGAAGGAGGUCCAAGUUUCCAAUACCAAGAAACCCUUCAUCUUCUAUCUCAAUCGUGCUAAGGUAAAAAAAAAAAAGAACAUUGUUUCAAUUUUGGGGUUAAUGAUUUUCUUGGAGUAGAAGUUGAGAUUUCUUUCUUUUCACUGGUUUUCUAUGCUUUUGCAUCUUUUCCGAACUGGGUUUUAGUUUCUUCUUCUGUUUCUUGGUGCUCAAAUUGGUUUCUGAUGUUUUUUUUUUUUUCAUAUCAUGGGAUCUUUAAUAUUUUUUGGCUCUAAUAAUCAUUGGAUAAGACUUGGUUUGUUUUAAUGCAUUUAGUUGAGUUCUGUUCAUUGAUUAAAUUGCAUAUACACCUUCCUUCUUUAUAACUUUAUGGGGUUUUAGUUAAUCUAAUCUAAUGCUUCCUUUGUUGCAGAGGUACAUAAAUGAGUUCAAUGAAGUUGAGCUUUGCGGCUUAGGAAUGGGUAUAAUUUUCUCUGAUCUUUUUACUUGAUUCUUCUUGUAAUCAAAUAGGAUGAUCAGUCUUGUUACAAAAUCUUGGUCAAGUUCUUCUUCGAGUAUUAUUAGCCAUAUGUAUGUAUGUAUGUAUGUAUGUAUGUAUGUAUGUUUAAUGAUUUGGACCAUAUGGUGUAGUUUGUCAUUGGAACUUUUGCUGAUACUUAGAGUUAUUUAACCGCAGCUAUUCCAACUGUUGUCACUAUAGCUGAGAUCCUCAAGCGAAAUGGAUUCGCAAUCCAAAAAGGUAAUAGAAGCCUCAAGUUUUUCUUUCUUAAAUUACGGCCACAAAAUUUAUCAUGAUAGCUAACAUAAUGAAAUGCUAUCACAAAGCAGAGGGCAUUAAAUCCGCAAAAUAAGAGCCAUAACAUCAUAUUAUCAUUGCUGUUUAACUACCUGCUUGGUAUGUUGUCACUGAUUCAGAUUGUUUGGCAAUGAAAACAGGGAUAAUGACAUCAACUGUACUCAGCACCCAGGAGGAUCGAAAGGGCCGUCAGAUUGAGAAAGCUAAGGUUAGUUAGUUGCCUUGCUUGUAUACCAUCCGAAUUGACAAGUCCUUGUUGUUCAUAUGUCUAAUUCUCCGUUUGUGUUUGUCUUUGUUUUUUUGGAAGAUUGAGAUUGUGCUGGGAAAAGCUGAGAAAUUUGGUGCCAUGAAUGCAGUUGUAACCCCAAAGAAAGCUGCUGAUUAGAAGGCAUAGAUAUUAAAGAAAAGCAGUAGCAUUGGGAAUUAACUACUUGUAUAGCAUCAUGGAUGAUCUUUCCAUGAAGUAGGAGAUAGUGGAACUACUUUUCUGUCUGUCUGCGUUUUUUUCUUCUUUUUUCAGUCUUUUAUAAUAGUUGAGUACCAAUCAAUUGUACAGUUUGUACAAAAAGUUUAAAAGAGGAUGUAUUUUGUGAAUAUCAGUUUGAGCACAGCUGCAUUGUCAUCUUAAGUCUCAAUACUACACUAUGAUCUCAUCUGAAUCGAAUUCAUAAAGAAGCAAGCUUUGCUAUUCUCUUAGCACUUUCUAUGUUAAGCAGAAAAGAGAGGAGUUAUGGCAGAUGAUUGAUAUGUUCACAUUGGUAUUAAUAUUACAAGAAACAGCCUUUUUCAGAUAACCUAUGGAAGGGACUCGAGAGCUGCACGACAUUGUUCAUCCUUCAUGGCAAGGCGUAGCAGUAAUGAAGUGACUCCUUCAUCUGCUGAGAAAUUCCUUCUGCGCAUUUCUUCCAAACGAUUCAUUGCUUUUUCAACCUCCUUUUCACGUAAGAGUCCAUGAAUAAGGGUAUUAAAUGAGAUCGAGUCGGGUAUGCAGCCUUUUUCUUCCAUUUCCAUGAGCAAUUUAUUGGCUUCCAGUGACAUACUUUGCUUGCAGAGGCCGCUGAGCAUUAUGUUAUAUGUUACAACAUCAAGAGACAACCCUUUCUCAGAAAUUUCAGUAAACAUUUUCCUAGCUUCUUCUGAUUUUCCAGCUCUCCACAUUCCAUCAAUUAGUAUGCUGAAAUGUUCAAUGCUCAGUUUUUUAUUGGUACUUUCAAGCGAAUGAAAGAGAUCAAGAGCCUCCUCAAUGUGGCCAUGCUUGCAUAGCCCAUCCAACAUGACAGUAUAUGUAGAUAACGCUGGAGACUGACCAUAAACAUGCAUCUCAUUAAACAUCUUUUCUGCAGUGCUCACUUGCCCUUCUUGGAAAAGCAUUCCUAUGAGUGUGUUGUAAGUCACUAUAGUCGGCUUAAUUCCAUUGUCAUGCAUCUUCUGAAAGAGUUCAAAAGCUUCAUCCAUCUUCCAACUCUUGCAAUAGCCACUAAUCAUUAUAUUGUAGCUAAAUGCGUCAAGCUUAAGACCUUGAUCAACUAUCAAACCAAAGAGUUUGGUUGCCUCAUCUAAGUGACCGUUUGAACAUAAUCCACUCAAGAGUGAAUUAUAAGUUCGUAUGUCUGGCUUCGCCCCCCGUCGAAUCAUCAAAUCAAGUAUCCUUUGAGCUUCUCCUGUCUUUCCUUCUUUGCCUAGAGAAUCUAUCAAAGUUGUGAAGGUUACCACAUCCGGAGAAAUUCCAUUUUCAACCAUCCGAUUGAAAAUUUUCACAGCUUCUCCCCACAUUCCCACUUGGCAAAAACCAUGAAUCAAAGUGUUAUACAUGAUCAAAUCCGGAGUGAGUCCUCGACUAACCAUUUCAUCAAAAACAUUAACAGCUUCUUUCAACCUACCUAGACGACAAAACCCAUGGAUCAAAGAACCAUAAACAACAGCAUCAGGACUAAUUUGUUUCAAAACCAUUUCGGAAAACACACUCGCUGCCUCAUCAACCAUCCCAUCUUUACAAAAAGCAUCAAUAACCAUACUAAACGUCAGCAAAGUCCCUUGACAGUUACUAUUUUCCAUCUUCCUAUGCAAUUCUAGAGCCAUACCCGGAUGACCAAAAGAACAAAGCCCGUUAAUUAGAAUCCCAUAUAUAACACCGUCCCCUUGAAACCCUCUUUCACACAUUUUAUCAAAUACUUGAACUGCAUCUAAAACCUUACCAUCCGCACACAUACCCUUCAACAAAAUGCUAACAGUAACCAAAUCAGGCUCAAAUCCCCUCUUUAUAAUCUCACCAAAAACACAAAACCCAGAGCUCAUUUGUUUUAAUUGACAGCAACUAUUCAUCAAAAUGCUUAAAGUAUACAAAUUUGGUUUAAUCCCUUCAACAUUCAACUUCCUAUACAUUGAAAACACAUUUGAAUUGCAUUUAAGCUUUGAAACUGAAUCCAAUACAAUAUUAAACGUUUGAAUCAAUGGGGAAGGUUCAGUUGUUACUAACUUGUCAAAGUAAGUGAGUGCAUCGUGGAGGGUGAUUUUACCUGAUUUACAUUGACGCCUGACGAAAUACUCGAACUCGUUGGGACACAAAAGGAGGGGUUUUCGUGGGUUCUGGACUCUGGGUUUGGGUAUCAAUGAAGAGCUUUGAAGAGGGUCUUUGGUGAAUAGAGAGGAGAGGGAGCUGAGUGCUUUGGUUGUUCCUUGAACUGCAUGGUUAGAAUAAGCUUUGCUCUUGAGCAACAUGUGUAUAACAAAACCAGGAAAGGAAAGCGACUUAACGACAGUUGAGCUGAAACCUGAAAGAUGAAACGAACAUCAAGGGAACUUAUCAGUCAAGGUUUUCCCCCAACUUGAAAGGCUGAAAUAGCAUGGAUUGCCCGAGGCUUCGAGUCCAGGGCUGGCCGCUAAAAUGAACAGGGUUAAAUUUGGCACCUGCUAUUAAAAUGGUCAAAUUCUUAUAUUAGUUCGUGCAUAAAUUAUGAAUUUAUUCUUUAUAUUUAAUUUUGAUUAUUUUUAAUAUUGUGAUUUUUUAAUUUUGAAAUUUAAAUAAUAACCCAUAAACGACAUAGAUUAAAUUUAUUAAGUUAAAAGUCUCUAUUGUCAAAGUGAAUAAAAAAUAAAGUCAAUUUUAAAUUCUCAAAUUAUGUAUUGAUUUAUAAUUUCGAUAUACGUAUGUUGAGAUUUAAUCAAUGAUGAUGAUGAGACAUUUUAAGAAGAGACAUGUUAGGACAACUUACUAUUAAUUACUUUGGGACUUCAUGCGGUUCUCAUAUAGCCCUAGCAGAAGUGCUUAAUUCUGAAGUUAAUCAGGCUACGGUUCAGAAAUUAACUAUGAAUCCAUGGUAUUAUUGAUUUUAUUGGGAAACACGUGUCAAAUUUUUAUAGGUGCUCUAUAAGAUUCGACACAUAGAAUAUAAUGGAGAUACAACUGCUUAGUAAGAAAAAAAAAAAGGAAGAAAGAUGAUCAGGUUUCCAUCCUCAUGUAUAAAAAUAAAUAAUUCCAAAUUAUAAUGAUAAUGGGAAAGAAAAUAAGAGGGAGUUAUAAGUUUAUUCAAAAUUAUGUAUUUUUAAAAUACUAAUUUUAACUCUUUCACGCAAUAAAUAAGAAAAAAAUUAUUUUUAUCCUUUAAUUUUUUCUGUUCUUCUUACCAAACAUAUUAAUUAAAAAAAACUCUUUCUAUUUUUCUACUCUUUUAGUUUUCAUUUUUCUAAUUUUCUUUUCACCCCACUGAACAAAUAUAAUUGAAAAAAUUUUCAACAAAAAUUUACUAAAUUUUAAAUUUUAAGAAAUAAAACAGUAAAAAAGAAAAAUUAAAAUGACAAGAUAAGUAAAUAGUAAAACUAAAUUUAUAAUUAUUAUGUUUUGUGUGUUACUGUCCACAAUUCUAUCAAAUGAAUCAAAGAUGAUUAAGUUGACACCGAUAUUAUUGAAACAUUUUUAGAAAAUAUAAAUGUAAUUUUUUUUAGAAAAAAUGGAUUCGAGUAAAUUCUAUGGUAAAUUUCUAUAAAAGGAAAUAAAGAUAAAUUAUUGUGUUUGAUUUGAUAGUUAAGUGUUGAAUAUUCGAGUUCUGAAAGUAAACUUUUAUUUGGAUAGAUAUUUAUGGUAGGCCUUUUAUUUGAGUAACUCUUUUUAAGUGUGUCCCUUCCAAUUGCUUUUUUGCUCAUUAAUUCAUAUUGUCAUUUUCCUAUCAUGUUAUAAUGUUAUUUUGUCGUAUUUUAAUCAUUUUCUUUAAUCGGGUCUCUAAGUCAAUUAUAGAAUUAUAAAAUUACACCUUUUAACACUGUAGAUAGCUCAUUUCGCCUGGGCCCAAACCAAUAAUGAAAACAAGGUUUUAAUGUCCUUUUCUUUUUGGUUUUAAAAAACAAAUUAAAUGGCUUCAUUUAAGAAAAGGGCUCUGCCCAUUAACCUGAUCCAUGCACACAUUUUUACCCUAAAUGGGUAAAUUCCACAUAUGGUUCCUCACUUUUGCAUUAUUAUGUGAUUGGGCCCUUUUUGCAUGUCUUUUGUUUUUUAAAUUUUCCCUGUGAUUUAUGUGCUGUUACGGUUUGGUCCAUGUUGAAAUGCUACGUUCAGGGACAUGGGAUAAUUUCAUUUUUAGUCCCUAUAAGUUUGCGCGCAUUGUAUUAUAUGAGCCUUAACCCCCUGAGUAGUAGGGUAACAGGCUAAAAAUUGCAGAUCUUGUCUCCAUGUGUCGGCUAUGGAGCAGAUCAAAAAUAGCGAUUCUUAUCUCCAUGUAUCGACUAUGGAGCAGAUUUAAGCCAUCGGCCUUAUCUCUCUGAGAUAACAAGAGAGCAGGUUAAAGAUACGAGCCUUAACCCCCUAAGCAGUAGGGUAACAGGAUGAAAAUUGCAGAUCUUAUCUCCAUGUAUCGGUUAUGGAGCAGAUCGAAAAUGGCGAGUCUUAUCUCCAUGUAUCGACUAUGAAGCAGAUUUAAGCCACCGGCCUUAUCUCUUUGAGGUAGCAACAGAGCAGGUUGAAGAUACAAGCCUUAACCCCCUAAGCAGUAGGGUAGCGGGCUGAAAAUUACAGAUCUUAUCUCCAUGUACUAGCUAUGGAGCAGAUCAGAAAUGGCGAGUCUUAUCUCCAUGUAUCGGUUAUGGAGUAGAUUUUAGCCACCAACCCUAUCUCUCUGAGGUAGCAAGAGAGUGAGUUGAAGUUACAGACUUUCCUAAAGCUGGUGUAAGUCUACUUGAAGAAGAUGAGCAACAAAGAAGUUAAGACUCAGCAAGACCAGGCAGAAUUGACCCAUUUGGAGUCUUUACUCUAUUCUCGUUACACGAUAAUGAGCAAAGAGGGGCAGUUGUAGAUGGCCCAUUUCGCCCGGGCCCAAACCAAUACUAAAAUUAAAAUAAAAUACCCUCAGACCCAAUUCAAUCAAGCUCAAUACAAACCCAAUCCUAAAACCCAUUUACAAUGUGGCCCAAUUGGCCCAAAGCUUAAACAACUUCAGAAAAAAAAAACCCUAAGCAGACCACCCUUGCGCCGCAGCCAGCAGCGCGCCUCCCCCGCACGUCGCGCGUUUCGUCCUUGUCAUACGCUCCUCCACCAAGGCACGUCAGAGACGUGCUCGAUUACGCACCUGCAAUAGUUGAAAACAGUUGUAAAAAUCGGCUAUAAGACUGAAUCAAAUCGUAUGUAAAUGAGUUUUAUUUUUCAGAGAAAAUAUUACGAAUACAAAGGAAAUACAGAGGAAAAGGAAAAACUUCAGAUCUAAAAUAUUUGGAAGGUGAUUUUUUUUAUUUUGGUUCUCUAUUCUUUCAUUUCAUCCUUUUUUGUGUUGUUCUUUUUAUUUUUUUUCAUACAAACGAAAAUAAAAAGGGAAGGAAAAAGACUUUACCUAAACCCCCAAUCGCAGAGCCGAAAAGUGGUUGAAAUUUAGCUCAAAAGUGGCGGUCGAACUGCUUCUCUUUGACCUGUAAAAGAAGAGCAAG